GACGAACGCUGGCGGCGUGCCUAAUACAUGCAAGUCGAGCGAAGUUUUUCUGGUGCUUGCACCGGAAAAACUUAGCGGCGAACGGGUGGGUAACACGUAAAGAACCUGCCUCAUAGACUGGGACAACUAUUGGAAACGAUAGCUAAUACCGGAUAAUAGCAUUAACUGCAUGGUUGAUGUUUAAAAGUUGGUUUUGCUAACACUAUGAGAUGGCUUUGCGGUGCAUUAGCUAGUUGGUGGGGUAAAGGCCUACCAAGGCGACGAUGCAUAGCCGACCUGAGAGGGUGAUCGGCCACACUGGGACUGAGACACGGCCCAGACUCCUACGGGAGGCAGCAGUAGGGAAUCUUCCGCAAUGGGCGAAAGCCUGACGGAGCAACGCCGCGUGAGUGAAGAAGGAUUUCGGUUCGUAAAGCUCUGUUGUUAGGGAAGAAUGAUUGUGUAGUAACUAUACACAGUAGAGACGGUACCUAACCAGAAAGCCACGGCUAACUACGUG
rnacentral:rRNA from 1 species